UGCCCAGCAACUCCUAUCCCUACCUCCUCGCGGUGCCGGCCGGAAACUAUGAGCAACCUUAGGGAAGA
rnacentral:ribozyme from 1 species